rnacentral:rRNA from 1 species
CAGGCCUAACACAUGCAAGUCGAACGGUAACAGGAAGCAGCUUGCUGCUUCGCUGACGAGUGGCGGACGGGUGAGUAAUGUCUGGGAAACUGCCUGAUGGAGGGGGAUAACUACUGGAAACGGUAGCUAAUACCGCAUAACGUCGCAAGACCAAAGAGGGGGACCUUCGGGCCUCUUGCCAUCGGAUGUGCCCAGAUGGGAUUAGCUAGUAGGUGGGGUAACGGCUCACCUAGGCGACGAUCCCUAGCUGGUCUGAGAGGAUGACCAGCCACACUGGAACUGAGACACGGUCCAGACUCCUACGGGAGGCAGCAGUGGGGAAUAUUGCACAAUGGGCGCAAGCCUGAUGCAGCCAUGCCGCGUGUAUGAAGAAGGCCUUCGGGUUGUAAAGUACUCUCAGCGGGGAGGAAGGUGUUGAGGUUAAUAACCUCAGCAAUUGACGUUACCCGCAGAAGAAGCACCGUAUAACUCCGUGCCAGCAGCCGCGGUAAU